rnacentral:rRNA from 1 species
UGGGUGGUUCAUUGCCGACAACGUCAUGAGAAGUCCAAUGAACCUUAUCAUUUAGAGGAAGGAGAAGUCGUAACAAGGUUUCCGUAGGUGAACCUACGGAAGGAUCAUUGUCGCU